ACCGCGGUCCUUCUAGCCCACCCGGCCGGCCGCUCGGCUCCCCUACGUGCGCGUCUCGCCCGCAAGUCCCGGGGCUUUUGAACUGCAAGCUUUCGCGAAGCAACAGGCGGCGGCAGCUCGGGCGCUGAGUGGGCGGAGCUCGCCGCCGCCUUCUCACUGCCUCCCCAAAAUGUCUCGGAAGAAAAGCCGCAGGAGAGUGAAAGUCUCUCUUUCCACGCCGGGCUCAGACGCUGCCUCGGAGGCUUUCGAAGCGAGUCCCUCGAUCCCCCGCCUCCGAGUUCCUCAGCCUCAGCCCCGACUGGCUUGGAGAUAAGGAGCGUGGGGAGCGCACACGCACGCUCGUGGCGGGAGGGGCGUGGAGGGCCUGCCCCGUCUGGCGAAAGGGAGAAGAGAGGCACUUGUUUUGUAUACGCGCGCAGCCCGUUCCUGGGCGUUUCCAAGGAGCGAAGCCCACUUUGCGUAGUUUGCUCCCACAGCUAUGAAGAUAGAGCAGCGCUUUGGCCUGGAGGUGAAGAUGCUUGUCUCCCACUUGGAAGGUUGAGAGUUCAAUCCUGGGCAGCGACAGAUGUUUCUCUAUCAGGGCGCAAAGAGAAAAUAACUGCUGUGAACUCCACAUAGGCAUCAGGAAGGGCAUUCGGCUGGUAAAUGCUCAGCUUCACUCAGUUGCCCCGACUCCAUCCCGAUAGAAGGUGGCAGAAGAUUGGAUAGGAAGACUUAUUACAGAGAAUUAGACAGCUAUAAGUACAAGACAUUUUCCAUCUACUAUUAUCCAGGAAUCCUGACAUUUACAUCAAGUAUUCCCAAGGUUUGAAUCCUGAAUAUCUUCCUCCCAUCUUUUUGAGUCAACAGCCUUGUGGCUAUUCAUUUCCCAAGCUUGAAAUGACUCUAGUUUAAGAAGCAGAGAUUCUCAGCUCACCAGCUUCAACACUUAUAAUUAAUAUUAAAACAAAUAAAAAAUCACUGCAAGGUCAA